rnacentral:rRNA from 1 species
UACGACUACAUAUCAGGCAUAUCAAUAAGCGGAGGAAAAGAAACUAACAAGGAUUCCCCUAGUAACGGCGAGUGAAGCGGGAAGAGCUCAAAUUUGAAAUCUUAAAGGGUUUCCCUUUACGAAUUGUAGUUUAAAGAAGUGUUUUCUGUUGGAGUUUCGGUAAAAGUUCUUUGGAAUAGGACAUCAUAGAGGGUGAGAAUCCCGUAUUUGACCGUUACUUUCCAGCUGUGUGAUACACUUUCAAAGAGUCGGAUUGUUUGGGAAUGCAGUCCAAGAUGGGUGGUAAAUUUCAUCUAAAGCUAAAUAUUGGCGAGAGACCGAUAGCGAACAAGUACCGUGAGGGAAAGAUGAAAAGAACUUUGAAAAGAGAGUUAAACAGUACGUGAAAUUGUCAAAAGGGAAGCGUUUGACACCAGUGUUGUUUAGUUGAAAAUCAAUUCAAUAGUUUUUGAUUCUAAGUAGUAUUGACUUCAUCAGCUUGCUGCUUUCUUCUCAGAAAUUAUUGAAUGCACUUUUCAGUUAACAAGUCAACAUCAAUUUCUUUUGUUGUAAAAGGGUAAGAGGAAGGUGGCUUGCGCUUCGGCUCAAGUGUUUAUAGCCUUUGCUCUCUGCAAUCGGAGAGAUUGAGGUCUGCAGCGUAGAUCCUUCGGGGUUAGAUACAUUGGUGCUAAGCUAUAGCCUUGUAUAGACAACUUGUUGACUAUGCUCAGUCAUGUAGCUUACUCGCUGAUGCUAUUUUACCUACGCUUAGGAUGUUGAGUAGCAACAUACGCAC